rnacentral:pre_miRNA from 1 species
UAUAUACUCCCUCCGUCCCAAAAUUCUUGUCUUAUAUUUGUCUAAAUACGGAUGUAUCUAGUUACGUUUUAGUGUUAGAUACACCCGUAUCUAGACAAAUCUAAGACAAGAAUUUUGAGACAAAGGGAGUACUUC